GCUUGCCUCGCCCCUUCCCCUCCGCGGGGGACAAAGGGCCGGUGACCCUCGUCCCUCCGAGCGCGCCUCCGCGUCGAGAUCCGCUCUGCUGCCGGUGGGGAGCGGAUCCGAGCUGAGUCGCGGGGUCGGAAAGUUGGGGCGAGGUGCGCCUGGCCUUAGCUAAAGGCCUCUUCCACUCUGGAGCGGUUCUGGCACGUCCUCUGAGACAAGUUCUGGGUUCGAAUCCCGUCCGGAUCUCAGACCAGAACCGACGCACCAGCUCAGUGGAACGUCCUGCCGGAGCUUCACUCCCUGCUGACAUCUGUGUUUCUGGUCCUUUCUUGUUAAAGGUGAGAAGAAGACAACGUGUGAAACUUGAGUAACUUGCCUGGGCUCACAGAGAGAGCCUGCCAGAACGUUUUCUGGCAGGUUCCACUGCUUUCUUAUGGGGGCCUGCUAGUUGAUUUGUGAGAGCAGUGAAGGAGAACUUAUUAUUUUUUCCUUGGCUCUGGCUUUUUUUUUCCUGCAAUUACAUUUAUUUCCUCUACUCUGAGUAAAGACAAACUACCACACUCAGAUAAGGUUCCUGAUGAUCUUGGGACAGAAGUUGCUGUAGACAGGAUAAAUUUGACCAGUCUCCAGUCAUUCUCUGUUUUUUCUGAUUUGGCCAUUUGCCUAACACCUCCCACCCCUCUGCCCCUCCAGUUGGAGUAAGGCUUCAAAUGCCCCUUGAAGAAAGGUAGAUUGCAAAAUUCUCCAGGCUGUUUAACAGCCGACCCUUUAGAUUCUUAGGGCUUGGCUAUUACAACUGGAUGAACUUGAGAUCAUCUCCAAUUCAUCCGGCAGAACACAUUUCCUGGACUAUAAAAUGAGGGUUGGGCUUUGGAGGCCUUGUACAUAAAACGUGUUUAAAACAGCA